CUGGCGGUAUGCUUUACACAUGCAAGUCGAACGGGCUUGGGGGCUUGCUCCCAAGUUAGUGGCGAACGGGUGAGUAAUAUAUCGGAACAUAUCCGGAAGUGGGGGAUAACGUAGCGAAAGUUACGCUAAUACCGCAUAUGCCCUGAGGGGGAAAGGGGGGGAUUCGCAAGAACCUCUCGCUUUCGGAGUGGCCGAUAUCGGAUUAGCUAGAUGGUGAGGUAAAGGCUCACCAUGGCGACGAUCCGUAGCUGGUCUGAGAGGACGACCAGCCACACUGGAACUGAGACACGGUCCAGACUCCUACGGGAGGCAGCAGUGGGGAAUUUUGGACAAUGGGCGAAAGCCUGAUCCAGCCAUACCGCGUGAGUGAAGAAGGCCUUCGGGUUGUAAAGCUCUUUCAGCCGGAAAGAAAUUGCUUCCAUUAAUACUGGGAGUAGAUGACGGUACCGGAAGAAGAAGCACCGGCUAACUACGUGCCAGCAGCCGCGGUAAUACGUAGGGUGCGAGCGUUAAUCGGAAUUACUGGGCGUAAAGCGUGCGCAGGCGGUUUUAUAAGCCAGAUGUGAAAUCCCCGGGCUCAACCUGGGAACUGCAUUUGGAACUGUAAGACUAGAGUAUAGCAGAGGGGGGUAGAAUUCCACGUGUAGCAGUGAAAUGCGUAGAUAUGUGGAGGAAUACCAAUGGCGAAGGCAGCCCCCUGGGUUAAUACUGACGCUCAUGCACGAAAGCGUGGGGAGCAAACAGGAUUAGAUACCCUGGUAGUCCACGCCCUAAACGAUGUCAACUAGGUGUUGGGGGAGGAGACUUCCUUAGUACCGUAGCUAACGCG
rnacentral:rRNA from 1 species